rnacentral:rRNA from 1 species
AUGGAGUGGCCCUGUCCGCACCAACCUCCCAGCAAUCUUCACACAAAGACGACUCUACAGCCCCUCGAUGGACACGAAGGUAUACCACACUCUGAGCAUUCCUUAAAUGUGAUUGAUAGGGGGGAAAUUGCUCUUCUGAAAGUAGCUAAACAAAAUUUGGGAACCUCGCUUGAGCGGAUGCUCUCUUACGCAUCUCUUCGAGCUCUGCUGCAGGCGCCCUUGGAGCCACAAAUCAGCAUGAGCAGCAGCUUCGGUUCUUUGCAAGUUCAGAUUAUUUCGCCAUCGACGUCGACCCAGAGCAUCAAGCUUUCCCCCAUGCAUCUUCUUUGA